GAUUGGACAGCCCUUCAAACAGAGGCCACUGUCAAGCAUAAGGAAGGACACCAUGACCAUCUCAAAGAAGAUCCUUCUCCGAUGGUGCUGUUCAGGAAGCAUGCAUUAUCCCUAGGCUGAAUUCCAAAUCUUGGAGCUUGGUGCACCAUGUGGCUGCUACUCUGAUGUGGCCUUUUUAAGCACAGGAGAGGCUUCUCCUGGAAGGCAGUGUGAGAAUCACAGAGAUAUGAAGGGCAGGAACUAUUUUCAUUGUUUGUAGAUUCACAUAUAAAAGGGAGCAGGAGAGUGUGGAAAUCUAGCAUGGCUCAAUACAUUAAUGUUUCUCUUGUCAGUUUAGUGACAUCAGAACUCUGGUGCCGCAAGUCUGAGUUGAGAAGAUGGCCACAGGCAGCAGCUGUGGAAGAGUUGCAGCUGCUCUUCACGGCCCAUUGGCAAGGUUUACGCCUGGAAAGGAAUCGCUACAAAUGUUUACAAGUCAAAAUUGCUCUGGUGAGAAAAGCUGUCGAAAGUCCCAUCAUUAUUAACAAGCACUUUCUUUUUCUUUUACUUUGUUUUAUCACCGAUGGAAAAGAAGCUUGUAGCCAGCAUGGUGCAUGGGAGGGAUCUGUCAGAAUGAUGUCAUAGUGAAAGGGAGCAGAACCUGAUUGUGCGGUUGUGCACACUGGAAAUCUCACUGCAACAGCCCACAUCAGCGCCUUUAUCAAUUAGCUGCAGCAGGGGAACCCUAAAGAGCGAGCCAGUGGACUGGGACUUUCAACCAAGAGUCAAACAUUGUGAUUCCUCAAAAGGAGCACCGCAGAUGUGGCCACCAUGUUGUGAAGGCUGUGAGCAUCGUAACCCACUGAGUCAAUGAAAAGAGUGAGAAAAGGCA